CUACGGGGGGCAGCAGGCGAGAAAACUUUGCAAUGUGCGAAAGCACGACAAGGUUAAUCCGAGUGGUUUGUGCUAAACGAACCUUUUGACUGUCCUAGAAACUCUGUUGAAUAAGGGGUGGGCAAGUUCUGGUGUCAGCCGCCGCGGUAAAACCAGCACCUCAAGUGGUCAGGAUGAUUAUUGGGCCUAAAGCAUCCGUAGCCGGCUCUGUAAGUUUUCGGUUAAAUCUGUACGCUCAACGUACAGGCUGCCGGGAAUACUGCAGAGCUAGGGAGUGGGAGAGGUAGACGGUACUCGGUAGGAAGGGGUAAAAUCCUUUGAUCUAUUGAUGACCACCUGUGGCGAAGGCGGUCUACCAGAACACGUCCGACGGCGAGGGAUGAAAGCUGGGGGAGCAAACCGGAUUAGAUACCCGAGUAGUC
rnacentral:rRNA from 1 species